rnacentral:rRNA from 1 species
AGCAGCCGCGGUAAUUCCAGCUCCAAUAGCGUAUAUUAAAGUUGUUGCAGUUAAAAGCUCGUAGUUGAAUUUCGGGGUUAGCAGGUCGGUCGUGCCAUCGGUAUGAACUGGUCUCGCUGAUCCCUCCCUCUUGACGAACUGUGAUGCCAUUAAUUUGGUGUCGCAGGGAAUCAGGACUGUUACUUUGAAAAAAUUAGAGUGUUUAAAGCAGGCUCACGCUUGAAUACAUUAGCAUGGAAUAAUGAAAUAGGACGUUUGAUCCUAUUUUGUUGGCCUCUAGGAUUGACGUAAUGAUUAAUAGGGAUAGUUGGGGGCAUUAGUAUUCAAUUGUCAGAGGUGAAAUUCUUGGAUUUAUUGAAGACUAAUUACUGCGAAAGCAUUUGCCAAGGAUGUUUUCAUUAAUCAAGAACGAAAGUUAGGGGAUCGAAGACGAUCAGAUACCGUCGUAGUCUUAACCAUAAACUAUGCCGACUAGGGAUCGGAUGAUGUUAAUUUUUUAAUGAUUCAUUCGGCGCCUUAC